CCUUCUCUCUCAGGUGAGUUCUUGUUCUUCUUUUUGAGUUUUCUUUUUGUUUUUUCUCUGCUUUCUCAAUUAUGCAUGUAUUUUGAUCUUGUUUAAAUCAAAAUUUUAGGGUCUGUUUUUCAUCGAGUUAUUCUCUAUGCUUGCAUCUGUUAGCUAGGGCUUCAGAUAUUUUGUGGAAGUUAGGUAUCGCUCCAAUUCUAUGUUAUAUAUUUCGUACUGCAGAUAUUUACUAAUAAUCGGGAAACUGUUGCGUUAAUUCUUAACUGUACCAGCUUUUAAUAGAUUAUAAAUACAAUGGGUUUUAAUCUUUCAAGCAGAAGCUUCAGUUAGAACUUUUCGACAAGGAGAAGAGUAAUAUUGGACAGGGGUGUAUUGAAAGAGCUCAACCUGGGCGUUUUAAUGAAGAAAGAUGAUAAAAUGGAGCACCUAACAAUGCAUUUUCAUAGACCAAGAACUACGAGAUCGAUGGUCAGUUAUUCAGGGAUUUCACAGAGAACUUGGUAAAUGCAUGUCUCCAUCCAUGUUUGGUAGAAGUAUUCAGGUUUAUUUCAUCAUAUUUCCUCUUUAAGACUGCAAGAUGCUUUAAUUGUGUGCAAAUGAUCUCACAUGUAUAAUGGUAUACAUAUUUUCUGGGAGGAACAUUUGCAGGUAAAAGAAGACCUGACAACUAGCUUCUUUUUGACUUCUACUUGCAUGCUUCAAUGGGCACUACAUGAAAGAUAGAACAAAAUUAGAGCAACUAGACAACUACUACAGGCUCACUUAUGUCAGCAAAUUAGAUGG